CCCCCCACCCCCCAACAUAUGAAAUUGCUCAAUAAAGUAACAUAAAUUCAUAAUAGCAGCUUUAAAAGCACUCAUGUCUUUGUUAUUUUUUUGUGUCAUUUUAAAUUCAGGUCAAUCGUCUCUGUUAGGACCUUGGGCUGUCUACCCAAGUGCCUGACUAAAUUAACAAAACAGGAAACGUUUACAAAUACUGAUGGUAGUUUGGUGGUGUGGCAAGUAGCCAUUGCAAAAAUAUUUCAUUUUUUCUCAAUCUACAGCAUAGGUAUAUCUUUAAGCAAAAUGAAUAUUGUUGUUUUGUUCUAUAAACUACUGACAACAUAACAGAUUCCACAUUAAAAAAAUGCUCUAAAUGUAAACAUUGUCAAAAUAACAACGAGAGCCAUUCCUAAGUGUUUAUUUGAUCUGCUUUACAUUCAGAUGAAAAUUCUGCAAUUACUCCUUCUGCACUUCCUGUUCGAUGCACUUGUGUACCGGCAUUGGCGUUGACGCUAAUCGAAUCCAAACCUGGGGAUGGCGGUGUUAUGCAAUUAAAAUAUAUCCGUCUUUCUAAGAUUUCAAGUUUGCAACUUUGCGAUCCUGAUGGGAUUACAGAGUGGGAGGAAGAGAUUACAACGUGGCCCGAUGUUCAUCUUUAUUUUGUGGAGAAACCAACUGUUUGCACCAGAGACAAAACUGCAAGCCCUGCUUGUACCAUCGUCAACAGAAAGAAGAACUACAUCCGCAUAGAUCUUGCAUUUCAGGAAUUGAUUGUUCCAGAAGAACAAGACUGCAAGUUUCUCGGGUUGGAAGAUGAGAGGUGAUUUUCCAGAUGCGAUUUUAGGCCUGGGGGCUUGAUAGUGAUUGCCACUCAUCAGCGUACGGGGUGGUCGCGGCCGGCUUGCGGCCAGUCAUUUUGAAAAUAAUAAAAAAUGCUUCUCGCUUAAAGUUUGACUCAGGGCACUACAAACUGCCCAACCACAUGUUUUACUGUCAUUAAAGUCACAUUCUGUGCAUGUGCCUGGAACAUACAGCAUACACGGAUGUGACCGCCUUGGUUAUCUUGUACGGAAUAACAUUUUUAAAAAAUAACCAGCUCACUGGCCAAAUCCUCCAUCGCCCUGUCAGCAAUGGAAGGACAAAGGUCACGUUAAUCAUAAUUAUCACUGUUGUUCAUCAUGAUCACUCCCCCAGUGCUGUCAUCAACUGGAAAUUAAACCACUGCCAGUCCAUUCAAGUCAACUGAGUGAUGUAAAAAAAAAAAAACUGCAUGUGAGCAUGCCAAAGUCAGUUCGCAAUCAAUUCCACGUGGGCGCUAAUCUGUCCCCUUGCAUAUCACGCCGCCGCAGGCAGCGCCGCGCAACAAAGGCCCAAUCAAGUCGCCCCUAUUCUAGGCUGAGCCGGGUUUCCUCUCGCGACCACUUAUCAUGUUUGUUCUGACAUCGCCGACGUGGAGCACAUGGCAAAGUGCACACAGCAUGGAGGAUGAGGCUCGCCUUAGCGCGUUGACUUCACAGUGCAGAGGCCCUGGGUUCGAUCCCGGCUCCGGCCUUCCUGUGUGGAGUUUGCAUGU